rnacentral:rRNA from 1 species
AGUGAACGCUGGCGGUAGGCCUAACACAUGCAAGUCGAACGGCAGCACAGUAAGAGCUUGCUCUUACGGGUGGCGAGUGGCGGACGGGUGAGGAAUACAUCGGAAUCUACUUUUUCGUGGGGGAUAACGUAGGGAAACUUACGCUAGUACCGCAUACGACCUACGGGUGAAAGCAGGGGAUCUUCGGACCUUGCGCGAUUGAAUGAGCCGAUGUCGGAUUAGCUAGUUGGCGGGGUAAAGGCCCACCAAGGCGACGAUCCGUAGCUGGCCUGAGAGGAUGAUCAGCCACACUGGAACUGAGACACGGUCCAGACUCCUACGGGAGGCAGCAGUGGGGAAUAUUGGACAAUGGGCGCAAGCCUGAUCCAGCCAUACCGCGUGGGUGAAGAAGGCCUUCGGGUUGUAAAGCCCUUUUGUUGGGAAAGAAAAGCAGCAGGUUAAUACCCCGCUGUUCUGACGGUACCCAAAGAAUAAGCACCGGCUAACUUCGUG